rnacentral:rRNA from 1 species
UACGAGAGCCCCAAGUGUUAUCCGGAAUUAUUGGGCGUAAAGGGCUCGUAGGCGGUCUGUUGCGUCGGGAGUGAAAACUCAGGGCUUAACCCUGAGCCUGCUUCCGAUACGGGCAGACUAGAGGUAUGCAGGGGAGAACGGAAUUCCUGGUGUAGCGGUGAAAUGCGCAGAUAUCUGGAGGAACACCGGUGGCGAAGGCGGCAUCCUGGACCAAUACUGACACUGAGGAGCGAAAGCCAGGGGAGCAAACGGG